CCUCUUCUACGCGGCGUCACGACUUCUGCUCGGGCGAAAGAGGCGACGGAGCUAGGUUUCCUCCCUCCAGCGGCUGGCGACGGCCUUCUUCCGGCGAACCUUGCGGAUCCGAGCUCCUCUCGUCGAGGAGAACUUGAAGGCGCGAAGAAGAUCGAGAUCUUCACUUCUCCGCAAGCCCUAGAAGCAUUAGAAGCCUUCUUCUCGGUUGUAAGUCCAAGAACGCUAGAUAAAGGAAAAGCCAAAUAGAUAUGAAAAGAGGUGACAAGGGAAGGCUUGAUGGGCGUGUGAUGUCUGGACUGUGGAGUGAUCUAAGAAGUUGUUAAUUCUUUUUAUUAAGAGUCUUAAUUGUUAAAAGAAUUUAAAACUUGUAUAUGCUAUUUUCUUGGGAUUGUUUUAUCGUGUAUUGCUGGAGUUGAUCUUUUGGUA